rnacentral:rRNA from 1 species
UAUGUGAUCGUCUCUCGCAUAUCAAUAAGCGGAGGAAAAGAAACUAACAAGGAUUCCCCUAGUAACGGCGAGUGAAGCGGGAAGAGCUCAAAUUUGAAAUCUUAAAGGGUUUCCCUUUACGAAUUGUAGUUUAAAGAAGUGUUUUCUGUUGAGGUUUUGGUAAAAGUUCUUUGGAAUAGGACAUCAUAGAGGGUGAGAAUCCCGUAUUUGACCUUUACUUUCAACUUUGUGAUACACUUUCAAAGAGUCGGAUUGUUUGGGAAUGCAGUCCAAAAUGGGUGGUAAAUUUCAUCUAAAGCUAAAUAUUGGCGAGAGACCGAUAGCGAACAAGUACCGUGAGGGAAAGAUGAAAGAGAACUUUGAAAAGAGAGUUAAACAGUACGUGAAAUUGUCAAAAGGGAAGCGUUUGACACCAGUGUUGUUUUUCUGAAAAUCAAUUAAAGAACUGUUUAUGCUAAGCUUGUUUAGACUUUAUCAGCUAUCUGUUUAGUUUUGAGCUUUUCUUUAAUGCACUUUUCAGUUAACAAGUCAACAUCAAUUUCUUUUGCUGUAAAAAAGCUUGAGGAAGGUGGCUUGAGAUUCGUCUUAAGUGUUUAUAGCCUCUUGCCUAUGCAGUCGGAGAGAUUGAGGUCUGCAGCGUAGAUCCUUCGGGGCUAAAUGCAUUUGUGCUAAGUUAUAGCAUUUUAUAGACAACUUGUUGACUAUGAUUUGUCUUGUAGCUUACUCGCUUAUGUUAUUUUACCUACGCUUAGGAUGUUGAGUAGCGACAUACGCA